GAUGGACGCUGGCGGCGUGCUUAACACAUGCGAGUCGAACGAUGAAGCCCAGCUUGCUGGGUGGAUUAGUGGCGAACGGGUGAGUAACACGUGAGUAACCUGCCCUUAACUCUGGGAUAAGCCUGGGAAACUGGGUCUAAUACCGGAUAGGAGCGCCUACCGCAUGGUGGGUGUUGGAAAGAUUUAUCGGUUUUGGAUGGACUCGCGGCCUAUCAGCUUGUUGGUGAGGUAAUGGCUCACCAAGGCGACGACGGGUAGCCGGCCUGAGAGGGUGACCGGCCACACUGGGACUGAGACACGGCCCAGACUCCUACGGGAGGCAGCAGUGGGGAAUAUUGCACAAUGGGCGAAAGCCUGAUGCAGCGACGCCGCGUGAGGGAUGACGGCCUUCGGGUUGUAAACCUCUUUCAGUAGGGAAGAAGCGAAAGUGACGGUACCUGCAGAAGAAGCACCGGCUAACUACGUG
rnacentral:rRNA from 1 species